UGAGUAAUGCCUAGGAAUCUGCCUGGUAGUGGGGGAUAACGCUCGGAAACGGACGCUAAUACCGCAUACGUCCUACGGGAGAAAGCAGGGGACCUUCGGGCCUUGCGCUAUCAGAUGAGCCUAGGUCGGAUUAGCUAGUUGGUGAGGUAAUGGCUCACCAAGGCGACGAUCCGUAACUGGUCUGAGAGGAUGAUCAGUCACACUGGAACUGAGACACGGUCCAGACUCCUACGGGAGGCAGCAGUGGGGAAUAUUGGACAAUGGGCGAAAGCCUGAUCCAGCCAUGCCGCGUGUGUGAAGAAGGUCUUCGGAUUGUAAAGCACUUUAAGUUGGGAGGAAGGGCAGUUACCUAAUACGUAAUUGUUUUGACGUUACCGACAGAAUAAGCACCGGCUAACUCUGUGCCAGCAGCCGCGGUAAUACAGAGGGUGCAAGCGUUAAUCGGAAUUACUGGGCGUAAAGCGCGCGUAGGUGGUUCGUUAAGUUGGAUGUGAAAUCCCCGGGCUCAACCUGGGAACUGCAUUCAAAACUGACGAGCUAGAGUAUGGUAGAGGGUGGUGGAAUUUCCUGUGUAGCGGUGAAAUGCGUAGAUAUAGGAAGGAACACCAGUGGCGAAGGCGACCACCUGGACUGAUACUGACACUGAGGUGCGAAAGCGUGGGGGAGCAAACAGAUUAGAUACCCUGGUAGUCAC
rnacentral:rRNA from 1 species